rnacentral:rRNA from 1 species
CCCGCUCAGAAACUCAAAGGAAUUGACGGGGGCCCGCACAAGCGGUGGAGCAUGUGGUUUAAUUCGAUGAUACGCGAGGAACCUUACCUGGGCUCAAAUGUAUGUUGACGUAUUCUGAAAGGGAUACUUCUUCGGACAAUAUACAAGGUGCUGCAUGGUUGUCGUCAGCUCGUGCCGUGAGGUGUCGGGUUAAGUCCCAUAACGAGCGCAACCCCUAUCAUUAGUUGCCAUCAGGUCAAGCUGGGGACUCUAAUGAAACUGCCUACGCAAGUAGUGAGGAAGGUGGGGAUGACGUCAAAUCAGCACGGCCCUUACGUCCAGGGCUACACACGUGCUACAAUGGCCGGUACAAAGGGCAGCUACCUGGUGACAGGAUGCUAAUCUCAAAAGCCGGUCUCAGUUCGGAUUGAAGUCUGCAACUCGACUUCAUGAAGCUGGAAUCGCUAGUAAUCGUGGAUCAGCCAAGCCGCGGGUGAAUACGUUCCCGGGCCUU